AUGGCAAGCUGUUUAAAAAAUAAAGACAAAGGCAGCUGUUAAAUCCUGCCACGGUCAUUUUGCUGGCCUUAUUUCCUGGGUUUUAUUCUCUUCAUAUCAGACUUAAUGUUAAUGUGUGUGUGACAGACGUGCAUAGCUGACAUUUAUGAAGAAAUACAGAACAAAUCGUCCCGUAAUGCCUCAAAACGUCAAUCAAAUAAAAGAGGAUUCUGUAUUUAUCUGUGUAAUGAUUGAAUGAAUUAUGUUUAGGUCCACUAGAUGGCGAUCAUGAGUUUAUGUGAAUAGAUAAAUGUAAAGAAUAGGACAACAGAAGCAGAGAGUCUUUGUGACACACCUGUGAGGAGAUCCAUGAAAGGAGACUUUAAUAAAAGAAUCUGAGCAACACAAGACGUCUGAACUUAGAGUUUUACGCACCUUUCUUGGUACCGCUCUGCCGAUGGCCACCGCCGGCGUGGAGCAGAACAGACCCACGUUGACGCCCGGCGUGGCAAAGGUGGACUUCUCCGUGGCAACGGCGAUGUCACAGCUGGCGACCAGCUGGCAGCCGGCGGCGGUGGCAACGCCGUCUACCAUGGCGAUCACUGGGACCGGGACGUCCUGUAUCAGAGUCAUCACCUGCAGCACCAGAGCCAGUCAGAAGCGGACCCAGACUGACCUCUGAGCAGGUCUGGAACACCUUCUGGUGGUACUCUCGGCCCCGGGCGGACGUCAGCUCCUUCAGGUCGUGUCCUGACGAGAACACCGGACCUUUGGCUGAAACA